GAAUAAGUGAAGAACUCUGUUGGAACUUGGAUUACUCCUCUGUCUCGUUGAUUGAUAUGAGUUUAUGUCUCAGUUCUUACUAAGAGGGUAAGACAAAGGGAAAAGAAAGGAACUGAACUGGAUUAAGUAUCAAUCAGAUUAUCUAAGGGAGUGGAGAAAGAGAAGGAAAAGGUGCUGAAGUGCAGAUUUAAGUUCUUGG